rnacentral:misc_RNA from 1 species
CCAAAUCGUGUGCACCUUCUUGUAGUGGACCAUUGCCCACCAGCUGCGGUCUGCUACGUCUUUCAAUCAUCAAACCCGUCAGUUUUUACGGUGGGGCUGAAAGCGCUGCUUUGCCCCGUAAAUGUGUAAAUAUGAACA